GGACGAUUUCUCUUCAACUAUAGGUUGAAAUGUUGUGGGUUGACAAGUACCGCCCUAAAACAUUAGAUAAAGUUAUUGUACACCAGGAUGUUGCUCAAAAUCUUCGUAAACUGGUCUCAGAGGGAGAUUGUCCUCAUCUCCUCUUUUACGGCCCUCCCGGUUCAGGAAAGAAAACUCUCAUUAUGGCACUUCUUAGACAGAUUUUUGGUCCAAGUGCUGACAAGGUUAAGGUUGAGAACAAGAUUUGGAAAGUUGAUGCUGGUACUCGGACAAUUGAUGUGGAGCUCACAACAUUGUCAAGCACUCACCAUGUGGAAUUAAAUCCAAGUGAUGCCGGAUUUCAGGACAGAUACGUUGUUCAAGAGAUAAUCAAAGAAAUGGCCAAGAACAGACCAAUUGACACGAAAGGGAAAAAGGGGUUUAAAGUUCUAGUGCUAAAUGAAGUUGACAAGCUCUCAAGAGAAGCACAACAUUCUCUUCGAAGAACAAUGGAGAAGUACAGUGCAUCAUGUCGCCUGAUUCUUUGCUCCAACAGUUCUUCAAAGGUCACUGAAGCAGUUCGCUCACGAUGCCUUAAUGUGCG
rnacentral:misc_RNA from 1 species